UCCGCCUUGGUGUAACGGCAGCACCCCGGCCUUUGGAGCCGUGGAGUCUAGGUUCGAAUCCUAGAGGCGGAA
rnacentral:tRNA from 2 species